rnacentral:rRNA from 1 species
AGCGAAAAGAAAAUAGUUCAGCACUAAGUCACAUUAUUGUAAUGAUAAUUGUGAGAUGCAGUGUACAGGAAUAUCUAAAUUCUAGUAUGAGAAAUUAAUGAUUUAAGUCCUCCUUAAAUGGGGCCAUUUACCCAUAGAGGGUGCCAGGCCCGUAUAACAUUAAUGAUUAUUAGAAGAUAUUUCCAAAGAGUCGUGUUGCUUGAUAGUGCAGCACUAAGUGGGUGGUAAACUCCAUCUAAAACUAAAUAUAACCAUGAGACCGAUAGUAAACAAGUACCGUGAGGGAAAGUUGAAAAGAACUCUGAAUAGAGAGUUAAAUAGUACGUGAAACUGCUUAGAGUUUAAGCCCGAUGAACCUGAAUAUCCAAUAUGGAGAAUUCAUCAUUACGAUAAUAUAAUAUUAUAUAUAUUAUAUUAUUAUAGUGUGCAUUUUCUUCAUAUAAAAUUGGACAUUGUAAUCUAUUAAUAUGAUGUAAUAUAUUAAUCAUAAGAUCAUUUGGGAUUUAUGUUUAUUUUUUUUAUUAAAUUUAUUUUUAAUAUAUAUAAAAUAAUUUCCUAUGAUUUGAUUAAGUAUUGAUAGAUUUAAUCAUGUGUAUAAUGCAGAGAUUCUUUUUUAUUAAAGAAUUUUAUAAUGGGGCUUGUUUCUAUUAUAAGGCAUUUAUACGAUUUACAAUGCGAAAGAUUCAGUAUACCUUCGGGACCCGUCUUGAAACACGGACCAAGGAGUCUAACAUAUGUGCAAGUUUUUGGGAUAUAUAUAUAUAUAUUUAUAUAUAUAACAUUAUAUAUAAAACCCAAAAGCAUAAUUAACAUAACUAUACAAAAAAUGGGAUUAGUUUUUAAUUAUGAAAAUAAUUAUUAAUUCAAUCCCAGGGCGUUCUAUACAGUUAUGUAUAAUGGCAUUUUAUUAUGUUAUUUAUACCUCUAACUAGAGCGUACCUUGAGCAUAUAUGCUGUUACCCGAAAGAUGGUGAACUAUACUUGAUCAGGUUGAAGUCAGGGGAAACCCUGAUGGAAGACCGAAAC